CAGUCGUGCUGGCGCGAAAUCAACCCCCUCGUCGGGAGAUCACUGUUGUGGCGAGCCUCAAAACCGUCACGGCGUGUGAUCUCACGAUGAGUGGGAGCACUUUCGUGUCCGCUGGUUAACAUCAAUUUCGAACGUCAUAAAAAGGCUGGAGGGAUGUGGCUCCUUCGGGAGUGUUUUAUAACCUUUAGCGGAAUGUGGUGGUCGGGAUUGAGGAUUGCAACGAAUACCUUUAGGGCUGUUCCACCUGGCCUCUCUUUGGUAUCCUGGUGACGACAGCUUGCUGACGUCGUUGGGAUUCGCCUUUGAACAGGCUAGAGUGUGAGCAAA
rnacentral:rRNA from 1 species